rnacentral:rRNA from 1 species
GUAGAGUGAUCGAAAGAUGAAAAGCACUUUGAAAAGAGGGUUAAACAGCACGUGAAAUUGUUAAAAGGGAAGCGCUUGUGACCAGACUUGCGUCCGGUGAAUCACCCAGCUCUCGCGGCUGGGGCACUUCGCCGGCUCAGGCCAGCAUCAGCUCGCUGUCGGGGACAAAAGCUUCAGGAACGUAGCUCUCUUCGGGGAGUGUUAUAGCCUGUUGCAUAAUACCCCUUCGGCGGGCUGAGGUACGCG